CCAGGUCCCACAGUCUGAGGGACCCAUCCUUAGUGGGUGGGGGUGAGCUAGGGUGGGGCCUGGCUGACGAUACGACAGUGUUGAUGGCCUUUUCUGCUUUCACAUCUCGAAGCUUGGACAAGUGAUGAACUUGGGGAAUGUUUGCUCAAUGAACACAGAUUUUAUGGGACUAAGUUGAAAUGCACCCCCCACCCCUUACUCCAUACUCUGACUCACAGGACCCCAAGCAGUGCUCAGUGAAGGGAUGCCCAACAAGAAGAGAGGAAGAAGGCAGCCUUUGCCUCAAGAUGCAGGAUUAUCUGCUUCCAACAUCUGCUGCCAUUGCUGGCUCUGGCCGCUGUCCCAUUUUCCUCUCAGAGCCCUCCUGGAGGCACAGGCUCCUCAGGCUCUCUGGAGCAGGUGGAAAGAACCCAUGGCUCUUCAGUCUCGAAUCCCCGUCUCUCUGCUGCCCCCUAGUGGACAUUGACGGCGCUGUCCUGAGGGAAGACUAGGUGUUUAACUUGGUGUGUUCGUGUGUUCAGAAAGGUGUGAUGAGCUUUGACUCCAACACAUUUCUGCAAACCUGCUUACCCCACUGGUUAAGGCAAGCACUGCCCUCACACAUCCUCAGUGAUGGGGAUAACCUGUCAGUUCCUCAAAUUCUCUCUCCCUCCCUCUCUCUCUCUCACACAGUUUGGUGUGAAAAGCUUGUGUAACAGCAGAGACCGUGUCUGUUUUGCUCACAGCUCUAUUUCUGGUGCCCAUCACAGGGUUUGGCACAUAGUAGGUGCUCAGUCCAUGUGUGCGGAAUGAGUAAUGCCCUCAUAGCCAUCAGGUGGCCAUGUUGCCCCCACCCCUGCUCCACCCUCCCCCUCUACAGAAGCUGUGAGAAGUGAAAGGGCAACCAGAGAAGGGGGCGGGGCGGUUUUGUGCUGGGCGCUGCCUGUACAAAGCUAAAUGUGAUGUAUCCUGGAGAGAAAAUUUUUUUUUUCUUUAAAGGGGAAAAAUGAAAGUAAGGGAGGGCACGGCUGCUGGUAACAGGGGGCGGGCGGGUAAGAGAAGGUCAGGACACCUAUCUGGUUCCGCUGGUGGGAGGUCAGCAAGACCAAAGAGAGAGGCAACAGUUCCGAAGCCGAGUUCUGGAAACGACAAAGCUGCUAGAGGGAGCCUGGAGCUUGGUCUCCCGUAGCACACCUGUGCCUGGGGACAGCAUGACCGAAGAUCAACCCAGAUACAGGAUCCGCUCCGUAGCUCUCGCUCAGGCCUCAGAGGAACGCGCGCAACACCUGUACCAGGUCUGUGCAUCUUCCCCAAGCAUCUUCUCCAGGCUUUUACAUCUCUCAGCCCC
rnacentral:lncRNA from 1 species